AAAAAAAAGAUAUCUCGGUAACGAAAACUAUAGGGGGCUGUAUUGGCGAGAUCCAACGGUGAACAGCUGCCCAAAAGAAAGACCGCCUGGAAGUCCGAGGACCUUUAGUACCGUACCCUGCCCCCAAACCAGCAGCCUUCGCGCCAAGCAAGACCGCCCUUGCCCCUUUCCUUUCUCCAUUCCGCCUCUUUCUUUGCUUUGUUCCAAUAGAGUCUAAGGCAAAGCAAAAGUGGUUCAUAUGUCUACUUUACCUACUUGACGAAAGGGAACGAACUUUGUUUCGUUUCCGGGUUUAUGGAUUGGAUUCAGUCAGCGUCACUCCUUCCUUUUGAAACUAUCGUGAUGCUUUGGUUACCGGCGAACGCUUCCAAAG
rnacentral:misc_RNA from 1 species